GCCCUGCUGCCUCACAGCGUGGCCGGAGGAACUCAGAGGGCAGAAGUGCGUCUACCAGUGAUUACGAUCGUGCUCCCCUGACAAGUACGUGCUCAGUUCCAAUCACCACAGUUCCUCGGCUCAACGUACAAACUCAUUGGGAACUAUAACCACCCUACUUUUGGUAGAGGAUGGUUUCGCCCAAUAUGGCAGCCACUCUCGUCCUUCUCCCGUCGGGCGCUACGGCGAAGGACUAAACUAUUUAUGACGCCGAUCGGAGGUACCAGAAGUCAGCUUAGUAUUCAGAAUUGUGUGGAAGCAUAGCUCAAAGAUUAAUACUAGAAAAAAUUACUCGUCUACUGACUGGGCACAAGAAUGGACGAUUCCAAAAUACAAAAGGAAUUCCUGGUAAGCCAGAGAUGGCCAGCACUCCUAGAAAGACGCUCUCUAGCGCAAUACAAAAGUAAAUGAGAGUUGCUUUCAUCAGAAGCCUGGGCCCUCGGACGCGGGAGCGAGCGCGAACCACGUGCUCGGGGCCGGGGCGGGGCCAGGAGCUGGAAGCUGCCCCCGGGGAAUAUUGCUGGAGCAUUGUCUCGUUAUUCUGGAAAGAAAGAAAAGACUCAAGCACACCAUGGAUGAGCCUUGAGGACAUUAUGCUAAGUGACUAAGCCAGACGGAAAAGGACAAGCACUAUAUGAUUCCAGUCAGAUGAGGUCCCUAGAGGAGUCACUUCAUAGAGACAGAAGUCUUUUCCUAGGUGAAUCGUCCCCUUUGGGUGUUGGGAGUCGUGGACAGAAUUAAGGAAUCCGCAGAAGAAACACCUCGCCUCCAGGUGGCGAUCUCGGCCCGCCCUCUGCAGACUCACGCGCAGUCGUAAGAACUAAUGCCAGCUUGCCCUUACGAUGCAGAGCUGUAAGGAACGUCACAACCAGUCCUGACGUUGACACGAGCCACCGAUCUUCGAAUCGCCGGGGUUUUACACAGCCUCACCUGUGUUUGCCUGUUAAUGUUCACAAUUAGUACAGUAGCCUCUGCAACGCCUUUUCUCCUCGCAAAUGAUGUUUUCAAGCUCUGUCCAUCUUGGCACGUUCUGUUCUAGCUCAAAUGUUGCAUGAAUACCCUGUAAUGUAUUAUUCAUUCCACACUGACAUCAAAGUGGGUUGUUUGGGGGGUCUUUUUGGUAUUAUAAAUAGUGCCACAAUGAUGAGUCUUGUAUUUGUCUCCACAAGCGAUAGUUUAGAGAACAUGACCAGAAGUGGAAUUUCCGGGUCAGAAGAUAUGUCUACAUUUCAGUUUAUUACAUUAACAAAUUGUCCUCCAAAGUGUCGAAACCAAUUUUCACUCUAGCAGCCUAGGAAUAUUUGUUUCUCCCCAUCUCGGGAGCAUCUCGUCGUUUGAAUUUGCAUUUCCCUGAUGUAAGUAGAUUUCUGAUUUAAGCAGAAAAAGAAAUUAUGAAAAGCAACUGGGAUCUCCAGGUGGGCUGGGAAACCGGGUUCAAAGCUCGGCAGAUGAAGUGGGCAGCUCAUGCCUAGAGCUGGCCGGUGAACACAACGCUGUCCCAUCCCUGUGUCCCUGUGUCACAGUCACACAUGGCACUGUGGACAGCAGCCCUGGGUGCUGGUGGAAACGCACAGCCUCUGCUGCCCUUAGACGUGGGGCACAGGUCCUGCAGCGGCCAUGAGUUGUCACCGUCAUGGACGCCCCCUGCUGCAUGACCCCAGCUCCCUUCGGCUGUGAGCCUGGCUGGCUGCAGCUGACAUGUCACCUUCUGCAUGGGAAGAGACUUUCUCAAAAGAGGAAUUCUUCAAACAUAGAAAGAAAGGCUCAGAUGCUGAAUGUCCAAAAAAUAAUUACAAACGUCCAGUAUACCUAACUAACAGUAAAGCUGAACAUCUUUUUAUAUGUUUAUUGGCCUCUCAGGUUUCCUUUUCAGUGAAUUACAUAUCCUUUGCCUCCUUGGGGUGGUUCAUCUUUUUCAUAUUGAAGUGGAUGAGUUCUUUAUAAAUCCUGGAUUAUAACCUUGCAACCUAUUGUAUGUGUUAAAGUACAUUCUUCCAGCCUGUGGCUUAUCUUUUCACUUGUUUAUGGCGUCUUUCAUGAUAAAAGCGUGUCAUGCUGGCUCUUAGAAUCAUCAAUAUUUUUCUUUAUUGCUUGUAUUUUGUGUACCUCCUUGGUUUGAGAAUGUGACUAAAUGGGUUAACUCUUCUGCUGAAAACAACUGAAAUGCUGGAUAAAAUGUAAAAGCCAUCUUAUUAAAAUCAUUGGA